rnacentral:rRNA from 1 species
AUACGUAGGGGGCGAGCGUUGUCCGGAAUGAUUGGGCGUAAAGGGCGCGUAGGCGGCGCGGUAAGUCUGGAGUGAAAGUCCUGCUUUCAAGGUGGGAAUUGCUUUGGCUACUGCCGCGCUUGAGUGCAGGAGAGGUUAUCGGAAUUCCCGGUGUAGCGGUGAAAUGCGUAGAGAUCGGGAGGAACACCAGUGGGGAAGGCGGUUAACUGGACUGCACCUGAACCGGAGGGGAGAAAGUGUGGGGAGAAAACAGGUUAAGAUACCCGGGGAGCCCACGCCGUAAACGAUGAAUACUAGGUGUAGGAGGUUUCGACUCCCUCUGUGCCGCAGUUAACACAAUAAGUAUUCCGCCUGGGGAGUACGGCCGCAAGGUUGAAACUCAAAGGAAUUGACGGG